rnacentral:rRNA from 1 species
GGGGAGACUGCCGGUGACAAACCGGAGGAAGGUGGAGACGACGUCAAGUCAUCAUGGUUCUUAGGGGCAGGGCAACACACGAGCAACAAUGGCCGGUACAGAGGGCUGCGAAGUCGCAAGGCGGAGCGAAUCUCAGAAAACCGGUCGUAGUCCGGAUUGCAGUCUGCAACUCGACUGCAUGAAGUUGGAAUCGAUAGUAAUCGCGGAUCAGAAUGCCGCGGUGAAUACGUUCCCGGGCCUUGAACACACCGCCCGUCACACCAUGGGAGUGGGCUGUACCAGAAGUAGGUAGUCUAACCUUCGGGAGGACGCUUACCACGGUGUGGUUCAUGACUGGGGUGAAGUCGUAACAAGGUAACC